rnacentral:tRNA from 2 species
CAAAACAUAGUUUAAUUAGAAUACUGGCUUUGGGAGUCAGUGGAAGAGGUUAAAUUCCUUUUGUUUUGA